GCGCGUGCUUACCAUGCAAGUCGAACGGGGUCCAUUUUGUAGCAAUACAGAGGAAGACCUAGUGGCGAACGUGUGAGGAACACGUGAGAAACCUGUCCCGAACUCUGGGAUAACAGUUGGAAACGACUGCUAAUACCGGAUGCCGUCGUCAGAUCGCAUGAUCAGGUGACGAAAGUUUUUCGGUUCGGGAGGGUCUCGCGGCCUAUCAGCUUGUUGGUGGGGUAACGGCCUACCAAGGCUUCGACGGGUAGCUGGUCUGAGAGGAUGAUCAGCCACACUGGGACUGAGACACGGCCCAGACUCCUACGGGAGGCAGCAGUGGGGAAUCUUGCGCAAUGGGCGAAAGCCUGACGCAGCAACGCCGCGUGCGGGAAGACGGCCUUCGGGUUGUAAACCGCUUUCAGCAGGAACGAAAAUGACGGUACCUGCAGAAGAAGGUGCGGCCAACUACGUGCCAGCAGCCGCGGUGACACGUAGGCACCAAGCGUUGUCCGGAUUUAUUGGGCGUAAAGAGCUCGUAGGCGGUUCAGUAAGUCGGGUGUGAAAACUCUGGGCUUAACCAGAGCCUGCACCCGAAACUGCUGUGACUAGAGUUCGGUAGGGGAGCGGGGAAUUCCUGGUGUAGCGGUGAAAUGCGCAGAUAUCAGGAGGAACACCAAUGGCGAAGGCACAUCUCUGGGCCGUAACUGACGCUGAGGAGCGAAAGCGUGGGGAGCGAACAGGAUUAGAUACCCUGGUAGUCCACGCCGUAAACGGUGGGUGCUAGCUGUGGGCCACAUUCC
rnacentral:rRNA from 1 species